UACGUAGGGACCAAGCGUUGUUCGGAUUUACUGGGCGUAAAGGGCGCGUAGGCGGUGCGGUAAGUCACUUGUGAAAUCUCUGAGCUUAACUCAGAACGGCCAAGUGAUACUGCAGUACUAGAGUGCGGAAGGGGCAAUCGGAAUUCUUGGUGUAGCGGUGAAAUGCGUAGAUAUCAAGAGGAACACCUGAGGUGAAGACGGGUCGCUGGGCCGACACUGACGCUGAUGCGCGAAAGCCAGGGGAGCAAACGGG
rnacentral:rRNA from 1 species